AAUGAACGCUGGCGGCGCGCCUAAUACAUGCAAGUCGAGCGAGAAGACGUAGCAAUACGUUUGUAAAGCGGCGAACGGGUGAGGAAUACAUGGGUAACCUACCCUAGAGUGGGGAAUAACUAGUCGAAAGGUUAGCUAAUACCGCGUACGCUCCUUGGACUUCGGUUCAGGGAGGAAAGCGAUGCCGAGGGUAUCGCGCUCUUGGAUGGGCUCAUGUCCUAUCAGCUUGNGGUGAGGUAACGGCUCACCAAGGCUUCGACGGGUAGCUGGUCUGAGAGGACGAUCAGCCACACUGGCACUGCGACACGGGCCAGACUCCUACGGGAGGCAGCAGUAAGGAAUAUUGCGCAAUGGGCGAAAGCCUGACGCAGCGACGCCGCGUGGGGGAGUGAA
rnacentral:rRNA from 1 species